CCAUCUGUGGCGUAGAAGUUUGCGCGCCGGCCCGAAAACCCGGAGGUGCAGGUGCAAUACCUGCCGGAUGGA
rnacentral:tRNA from 1 species